GACAGAGGAUGCAAGCGUUUAUCCGGAAUGAUUGGGCGUAAAGCGUCUGUAGGUGGCUUUCAAGUCCGCCGUCAAAUCCCAGGGCUCAACCCUGGACAGGCGGUGGAAACUACCAAGCUGGAGUACGGUAGGGGCAGAGGGAAUUUCCGGUGGAGCGGUGAAAUGCAUUGAGAUCGGAAAGAGCACCAACGGCGAAAGCACUCGUGCUGGGCCGACACUGACACUGAGAGACGAAAGCUAGGGGAGCAAAAUGGG
rnacentral:rRNA from 1 species